ensembl:lncRNA
CCACCACAAAAGUCUAUCACAGUCAAUUAGCCUUUUUGUCAAAAAUAGCAACAGAGACAAUAAACCUGAAACCUGAAUCUUUAUUAGAAUUAUGAUAUGUGAUUACAGUAAAUAUAAUAAGCAGCAAGCAUGUUAAAUGAGGGUUCACAGGUGACAUUGAACCAGUAUAGCAGGUCCUGAAAACAGAUAAUAGCAAUGGAAAAAUCGAACUUCAAAACCCCCAUCUUGACAAAGACUUGUCCACUUUCUGAACCUGUCUGAAGAGAGCAGAGACCAUCAAGAAGACACCAAAGCUCCCUACUCCUUGGCCCACGUGGGCUACUCCUUCUGAAACUUUCCUCCAGGGUAACUGCAAACCUCUUGGUGAGUACAGACAGGGAUCUCCAGCAAUAAUCCUUCUUCCUAAACCAUCUCACCCUUUAGCAGGUUAAAAAAAUUCUCCAAAUGAAUCUGCUUAUUUCUUCACCGAGGGGGCAGGACUGGGAGAGGAGAAAGUGUGCUGCAUUUGGGUCCCUAUUCUGAGCUACUCUAUCCACCUGUCCUCCCUUCACACUCCUCGGUUCUAUCCCCCUUGAAGAAUACCCACUCUCACCUCAAGGGAAGUCAAGCUUCUGGGUUAGUACAGUGAAAUACAAAAUGCUGCGCUCAGUCUAUGUCUGUUGUGAAGGGGACUUAUCAUCCCCUGGUGUGAUGGAUAACCAGCCAAAAUCAUGAAGAAUUCUUCCCUGGCAUGUAUUUUCAUACAUGCUGCUCAGAAGUUGUACUUGCUCUACUAUGAUAUCUUAGAGAAAGGCUGUCUUUCUGUCAUGGAGAUAUAGGAAGCACAGAAAUAUCAAUAAAGACUAUGGGGCUCGUUGGCUUCAGGAGAGGCAAGAUGUCUUCAGCACUCAGCCCAGGUGGUAAUAAUAAGUCUUUAUGAAUUCUGGACCACACUCUUCUCCCUCAUCAGGCUUCAACUUACUAGAAUCCUUCAGGUUUCUGCAUCUACCAACUGUCUACUCUAGAUAAUUCAAAAAAUUAAAAGUAAUUUUAAAAAAACUGAAUAAAGGAAAUUCCAAAGCUAAUAAAAGCAGAUAAUUAAAAAAAAAAAAAAAACAAGACUAAUAAAAAAAGCUGGAUAAUUCAAAAUACCAAAGUUAAUAAAAAGCUGGAUAAUACAGAAAAUCAAAGCUAAUAAAAAUUUGGAUAAUUCAAAAUACCAAAUUAAUAAAAAGUUGGAUAAUACAAAAAAUCAAAGCUAAUAAAAUGCUGGAUAAUACCAAAAAACCCAAAGCUAACAAAAAGAUAAAUGCAAAAAACCAAAACUAAUGAAAAAUUAAAGAAAAAUCCCAAAGCUAAUAAAAAGUCAGAUAAUACAAAAUAAUCAAAAGUAAUAAACAUAUCACUACCAUACUCAUCAAUUUAAACUGAUAUGGAAAAACAGGACCUAAAGGCCAAGUUAAUCUUCACAGCUCUACAUCUGCUAUUAGUUCAAUCCAAAAAUGACUUGCAAACAAUCAAAGUUUAUAAAAAGCUAGAUAUAUAUAAUGCAAAAAAACAAAACUAAUGAAAAAUUAGAUAAAGAAAAAUCCCAAAGCUAAUAAAAAUCUGGAUAAUACAAAAUAAUUAACAGUAAUAAACAUAAUUGCUACCAAACUCAUCGAUUUAAAUUGAUAUGAAAAAACAGGACCUAAAGGCCAAGUUAAUGUUCACAGUUCUAUGUGUUCUGCUCAUUAGUUCAGUCCAAAAAGGAUUUGCAAUCAAUCAAAACUAAUAAAAAGCUAGAUAAUGCAAAAAACCAAAACUAAUGAAAAAUUAAACAAAAAUCCCAAAGCUAAUAAAAUAUUAGAUAAUACACAAUAAUCAAUAAUCAAAGGUAAUAAACAUAUCGCUGUUGCUACCAUAUUCAUUGAUUUAAACUUAUAUGAAAAAACAGGACCUAAGGGCCAAAUUAAUCUUCACAGUUCUGUGUUCUGCUCAUUAGUUCAGUCCAAAAAGGAUUUGCAAUCAAUCAAAGCUAAUAAAAAGCUAGAUAAUGCAAAAAACCAAAACUAAUGAAAAAUUAAAGAAAAAUCCAAAGCUAAUAAAAUAUUAGAUAAUACAUAAUAAUCAAUAAUCAAAGGUAAUAAACAUAUCGCUGUUGCUACCAUAUUCAUUGAUUUAAACUUAUAUGAAAAAACAGGACCUAAAGGCCAAGUUGAUCUUCACAGUUCUAUGUGUUCUGCACAUUAGUUUAGUCCAAAAAGGACUUGCAAUCAAUCAAAGCUAAUAAAAAGCUAGAUAAUGUAAAAAAACAAAACUAAUAAAAAAUUAAAGAAAAAUCCCAAAGCUAAUAAAAUGUUAGCUAAUGCACAAUCAAUAAUCAAAGGUAAUAAACAUAUUGUUACCAUACUCAUCUAUUUAAAGUGAUAGGCCUAUAGGCCAAGUUACUCUUCACUACUCUAAAUCUGCUAUUAGUUCAAUCCAAAAAGGACUAGCAAUCAAAGCUAAUAAAAAGCUAAUUAAUGCAAAAAACCAAAACUAAUCCAAAAAUUAAAGAAAAAUCCCAUCCCAAAGCUAAUAAAAAAUCGGAUAAUCCAAAAUAAUCAAAGGUAAUACAUUUAUCACUACCAUACUCAUAGAUUUAAACUUAUAUGAAAAAACAGAACCUAAAGGUCAAGUUAGUCUUCACUACUCUAAAUCUGCUAUUAGUUCAAUCCAAAAAGGACUAGCAAUCAAAGCUUAUAAAAAGCUAGGUAAUGCAAAAAAACAAAACUAAUUCAAAAAUUAAAGAACAAUCCCAUCCCAAAGCUAAUAAAAAACUAGGUAAUACAAAAUAAUCAAAGGUAAUAAACUUAUCACUACCAUACUCAUAG